rnacentral:rRNA from 1 species
CGGGGUGCAGCAGGCGCGAAAACUCUACAAUGCAGGCAACUGCGAUAGGGGAACAUCGAGUGAUCCUCAUAUUGGGGGUCUGUCCACCCGUCUAAAAAACGGGUGUUAGCAAGGGCCGGGCAAGACCGGUGCCAGCCGCCGCGGUAAUACCGGCGGCUCGAGUGGUGGCCGAUAUUAUUGAGUCUAAAGGGUCCGUAGCCGGCUUUGCAAGUCUCUCGGGAAAUCCAGCGGCUUAACCGUUGGUCGUCCGGGGGGUACUACAUUGCUUGGGACUGGGAGAGGUAAGAGGUACUCAGGGGGUAGGAGUGAAAUCCUGUAAUCCUUUGGGGACCACCGGUGGCGAAGGCGUCUUACCAGAACAGGUCCGACGGUGAGGGACGAAAGCUAGGGGCACGAACCGGAUUAGAUACCCGGGUAGUCCUAGCCGUAAACGAUGCUCGCUAGGUGUCACAACAGUCGUGAACUGUUGUGGUGCCGUAGGGAAGCCGUGAAGCGAGCCACUUGGGAAGUACGACCGCAAGGUUGAAACUUAAAGGAAUUGGCGGGGGAGCAC